rnacentral:rRNA from 1 species
AUUGAACGCUGGCGGCAGGCUUAACACAUGCAAGUCGAGCGGGGUGAUGGUGCUUGCACUAUCACUUAGCGGCGGACGGGUGAGUAAUGCUUAGGAAUCUGCCUAUUAGUGGGGGACAACAUCUCGAAAGGGAUGCUAAUACCGCAUACGUCCUACGGGAGAAAGCAGGGGAUCACUUGUGACCUUGCGCUAAUAGAUGAGCCUAAGUCGGAUUAGCUAGUUGGUGGGGUAAAGGCCUACCAAGGCGACGAUCUGUAGCGGGUCUGAGAGGAUGAUCCGCCACACUGGGACUGAGACACGGCCCAGACUCCUACGGGAGGCAGCAGUGGGGAAUAUUGGACAAUGGGGGGAACCCUGAUUCAGCCAUGCCGCGUGUGUGAAGAAGGCCUUAUGGUUGUAAAGCACUUUAAGCGAGGAGGAGGCUACUUUAGUUAAUACCUAGAGAUAGUGACGUUACUCGCAGAAUAAGCACCGGCUAACUCUGUGCCAGCCGCCGCAGUAA